UCCCUGAGUGCGGCUGGUAUGAAACUGGUGUGGUGAUCUUAUGAGGUCCCGAAAGAGACCAACUCUGUCAGUGCAUGCAAACACCCACAGAGAGAGUUAAGAGUCAGAAAAAGAGAGAAAUAAGAGCACAUGAGGAAAUCGAUGAAUCUGUCUUUAGGGUAUUAAUUCUGGAGUAUUUACUGCAAACUUUGUUUCAUCUGUCAAGAUCUGACUGAGAAGACCACAGAUCGCCUUAAGACGCACAGGAUCAUGCAAUACUCUAGUCUUCCAAUUACAAGGAUUCAGACAGCCAAGCUUCGCCCAUUCCACCAUCAUCGACAUCCCGCAAGACCACCCAUUACCGUGACCAUGGUGGCCUCACUUAUGGUGUGGGAGUUGUGUGGACACAUCUUCGUCCCUUCAUUCCCUUUUUUCUGGUCUCCAGCCUAGUAGUGGCACUAGUCUACCUGCUGCAAACCAUUGUGUAUGGAGGGCCCUUCACCGACCCACUAUUCUUCAGCAAAUUUGAGAAACGCUGGCCCCCACCCGGACAGCAGCCAUCAGCCACAGAGUCAGCACAUGGAUUAUCUGGUAUCCUUUAAAGCAGAGAUCCCUGUAAUGAGGGGGUACUGUAUGCUGGAGGCCCACCAAUACAAAUGUUAUUUUGGACCCCAUGAAUCAAAGUGACGAGACUGAGGAUAUGAAUAAGGAUUCAUCAGAUUAAAGUUGUGAAAGAGUAGAUUAGGAUUUUGUUGUCCCUUACUUUGGAAUCUGGGGGUAAAAUAUAUGCAAAGGAUCAAGAAGCUCCAUAGAAGACAAUGUAAUACAGUUUUGAUAAAUAGCCGAGACUGAACUGAUAAUGUCAUCCCUAUGAUACUGGAUUCAGAUUUUUUAACUUUUCAUUUCAACUUUUGGUUGAAAGUCACCUCAGCUAUACUUUAAUUUCACCUUCAUUAAUAUUCAUCUUUCAUAUUUUGAUGUUUUCUUGUUACUUUGUUAUUUCAGACAGCUGUUAACUUACUAUCUCAAAAGAAAGUGAGUUUAAAAACAAUUUCUAAAAAGCACUGGCCUAUUUAAUAUAUGCUCUGUGUGCAUGAUAAUGAUAUGUGGUGCUAAAUACAUAUUUGGCAGGCAUGGUUUAUGUUUCUAGUCAAGUCCAAAUAGUUUGAUGUUAAAGAUCCAGUUACUGACACUAUGAAGUAUACAUAAUAUGAGAAGUGAUUAUAUGUUCAGAUUUAACCUACGUUUCCAGUUGCAGCUGGAAUGGAAUGUAAUUGCUAUGCAAAUUUCAAAUUAGUAUGACCAUAAUUAGAGAUACAAGACUCCAAGCAAUUAAAGAAGUACACUUAUGUCAUGUAAAUUUAUUUAAAGCAAAAAUAAAUUCAUAAUCUAUUUUUACAGCGUA